rnacentral:piRNA from 1 species
UGUGCCGCUAUGUUCAACAUC